AUGGAGGACAGACAUUGGCAGGGGGCAAUAACUGGCCCCUUCGAGGAAGAAAAUGGAGCCUGUGGGAAGGAGGCAUUCGAGGAGUGGGCUUUGUGGCAAGCCCCUUGCUGAAACAGAAGGGUGUGAAGAACCGGGAGCUCAUCCACAUUUCCGACUGGUUGCCGACUCUCGUGAAGCUGGCCAGGGGAACCACAAAAGGCACCAAGCCUCUGGAUGGCUUCGAUGUGUGGGAAACCAUUAGUGAAGGAAGCCCAUCCCCCAGAAAGGAGCUGCUGCAUAAUAUCGACCCAAACUUUGUGGAUAUUUCACCAUAGAGUGCAGGAGAUGGGCAGAGAGAGAGAAGCGGGC